rnacentral:rRNA from 1 species
UACGGAGGGUGCAAGCGUUAAUCGGAAUUACUGGGCGUAAAGCGUGCGCAGGCGGUUUGUUAAGUCCGUUGUGAAAGCCCCGAGCUCAACUUGGGAAUUGCAGUGGAUACUGGCAGGCUGGAGUACGGUAGAGGAAGGUGGAAUUCCCGGUGUAGCAGUGAAAUGCGUAGAGAUCCGGAGGAACACCGACGGCGUAGGCAGCGCCCUAGACGAGACCUGACGCUCAGGCACGAAAGCGCGGGGAGCGAACAGG